UACGGAGGGGGCUAGCGUUGUUCGGAAUUACUGGGCGUAAAGCGCGCGCAGGCGGUCUUCCAAGUCAGUGGUGAAAGCCCGGAGCUCAACUCCGGAACUGCCAUUGAAAACUAUUAGACUUGAGGAUGAGAGAGGUGAGUGGAAUUCCCAGUGUAGAGGUGAAAAUUCGUAGAUAUUGGGAAGAACACCGGUGGCGAAGGCGGCUACACUGGCUCAUUACUGACGGCUCAGGCGCGAUAGCGUGGGGAUCAAACAGG
rnacentral:rRNA from 1 species